rnacentral:rRNA from 1 species
GACAGAGGGUGCAAACGUUGUUCGGAUUUACUGGGCGUAAAGCGUGUGUAGGCGGCUUGGCAAGUUGGAUGUGAAAGCCCACGGCUCAACCGUGGAAGCGCACCCAAAACUGCUUCGCUCGAGUCUCGGAGAGGAAGGUGGAGUGCUUGGUGUAGAGGUGAAAUUCGUAGAUAUCAAGCAGAACACCUGCGGCGAAGGCGGCCUUCUGGACGAUGACUGACGCUGAGACACGAAAGCGUGGGGAGCAAACAGG